UCCUACGGGACGCAGCAGUGAGGAAUAUUGGUCAAUGGCCGAGAGGCUGAACCAGCCAAGUCGCGUGAGGGAAGAAUGUCCUAUGGAUUGUAAACCUCUUUUGCCGGGGAGCAAGGGCGGGGACGUGUCCCGGCCCGGAGAGUACCCGGAGAAAAAGCAUCGGCUAACUCCGUGCCAGCAGCCGCGGUAAUACGGAGGAUGCGAGCGUUAUCCGGAUUUAUUGGGUUUAAAGGGUGCGUAGGCGGGCAUUUAAGUCAGCGGUAAAAAUUCGGGGCUCAACCCCGUCCGGCCGUUGAAACUGGGGG
rnacentral:rRNA from 1 species